CCUACGGGGAGCAGCAGUGGGGAAUAUUGGACAAUGGGCGAAAGCCUGAUCCAGCCAUGCCGCGUGUGUGAAGAAGGCCUUCGGGUUGUAAAGCACUUUCAGUGGGGAAGAAAGCCUUGGGGCUAAUACCCUCGAGGAAGGACAUCACCCACAGAAGAAGCACCGGCUAACUCCGUGCCAGCAGCCGCGGUAAUACGGAGGGUGCGAGCGUUAAUCGGAAUUACUGGGCGUAAAGCGCGCGUAGGCGGUCUGAUAAGCCGGUUGUGAAAGCCCCGGGCUCAACCUGGGAACGGCAUCCGGAACUGUCAGGCUAGAGUGCGGGAGAGGAAGGUAGAAUUCCCGGUGUAGCGGUGAAAUGCGUAGAGAUCGGGAGGAAUACCAGUGGCGAAGGCGGCCUUCUGGACUGACACUGACGCUGAGGUGCGAAAGCGUGGGUAGCAAACAGGAUUAGAUACCCCAGUAGUC
rnacentral:rRNA from 1 species